AACUCCAAAGACUCACCAAAUUUCUCUACUCGGCUAGUAUCAAAUAAUUGAGCUAUUGGGAUCAUUGGGACUUUUUGGCUUUCAAAUGUUGGGCUUUUUGGUUCGAGGUAGGAAAUAUGGGUAUACGUGGCUCUGUUUCUUGAAUUGAGGUGAUUACGCUAAAUUUUGAAAGAUAAGCGUUUGAAACAAUGAAUUCACCUCUAAGGACUUUUAAUAAACUCGAUUUUUAAGAGUUCAAAAGUCUCCACUUUUGCUCUUAAGACAAUGGAUCGAGCUUUCAAACAAAAAUUCAACAACUAGUCCUUUC
rnacentral:lncRNA from 1 species